GGGUCGGCCUAGGGCAAAACUGGUGAUUGGGGCUAAGUCGUAACAAGGUAGCCGUACCGGAAGGUGCGGCUGGAACACCUCCUUUCUGGAGC
rnacentral:rRNA from 1 species